CCUACGGGAGGCAGCAGUGGGGAAUAUUGGGCAAUGGGCGCAAGCCUGACCCAGCAACGCCGCGUGAAGGAAGAAGGCUUUCGGGUUGUAAACUUCUUUUCUGAGGGACGAAGAAAGUGACGGUACCUCAGGAAUAAGCCAGGGCUAACUACGUGCCAGCAGCCGCGGUAAUAUGUAGGUGGCAAGCGUUAUCCGGAUUUAUUGGGUGUAAGGGGCGUGUAGGCGGGUAAGCAAGUCUGAUGUGAAAACUCAGGGCUCAACCCUGAGCCUGCAUUUGAAACUGUUUGUCUUGAGUGCUGGAGAGGCAAUCGGAAUUCCUGGUGUAGCGGUGAAAUGCGUAGAUAUACGGAGGAACACCAGUGGCGAAGGCGGAUUGCUGGACAGUAACUGACGCUGAGGCGCGAAAGCGUGGGGAGCAAACAGGAUUAGAUACCCCAGUAGUC
rnacentral:rRNA from 1 species